rnacentral:lncRNA from 1 species
CAUAUCUAUGCUCAUCGAUUGUUCUGAGCAGAAGGGAAAACGAGGCUUGAAGAUAAGACCUGGAGAAGGGAGAAAUACGGAAAUGCUGGGAUGAGAAAGAAAGAAAAAGCAAAACAAAGUUGCAAUAUCCCAGAGAAUUCAGCUCAGCACUGAUUCACAGAACUCACAUGUGACACAUCCAUGAUGAAAAAUGCAGAUUUUGCAAUCUUUCCUGCUUCCCUAAUCUCUGUGAUCAAAGGGCAGUCACCUACAA